rnacentral:rRNA from 1 species
UAAGACGAAGGUGGCUAGCGUUGUUCGGUGUCACUGGGCUUAAAGCGUGUGUAGGCGGAAUCCUAAGCGUCUUGUGAAAUCCCUCGGCUUAACCGAGGAAUCGCUUGGCGAACUGGGGUUCUUGAGGCAAAUAGGGGUGCAUGGAACUCUUGGUGGAGCGGUGGAAUGCGUAGAUAUCAAGAGGAACGCCAAUGGUGAAAACAGUGCACUGGGUUUGUCCUGACGCUGAGACACGAAAGCGUGGGGAGCGAACGGGAUUAGAUACCCCGGUAGUCCACGCUGUAAACGAUGUCUACUAGGUUGUGGUGGUUCUGACGCCAGCACGGCCGAAGCAAAAGUGUUAAGUAGACCGCCUGGGGAGUACGGUCGCAAGGCUA